rnacentral:lncRNA from 1 species
AAUUAUGAAGGUUUUGACUAAAGAAAUUACGGUAGAGAAAUUUAGAGAGAAUGAUAAGAGACAAACAAAUUGUAGAAGCUUGAAUAUAUAUAUAGACGUAAAUAUAUCAUGAAUUGAUUAGGAUUGUACAUUGUGUGAUUAGCAAAUCUAUCCAAAUUAGGACAGCAGAAAACUUGUCUACUAUAUUAAUUGGCAAUAUAUUUUCAAAAAAUAAAAUAAUAUAAGGAUAAAAGCUUUUUUUUAACGUCUCAAGACAAGAUAUAUAUUUAAAAGAUUAAAAAACAUGGGGAUAGAAGUUUUUUUUACGUAUGGAUGAGGGGUGUCAGAAAGAGGCAAGUUUUGGUCGACAGUAUAUUUCCUCAGCCACUAAGAACUCAACUUGAAAUGUGAGAGGGUUCAAUUGAACCCCCUCGCCCCAUAGUGGCUACGCCACUGUCACCAUGCAACCAAUUUGACAGAAUUUUAUAUUUUAAAUUGUUAUAUGUUUAAUAAUUUUUUUGAACUACUCCGAUGAUCCAACCUAAAAAACAAAGAUCCUAAGAAACAAAUACCGACAAAAAAAACCUUUAAAAAUAAUACGCGAGAAGAAAUAGUAAAUAAUGGAUUUGAUAAGCAAAAUUGGGGGAACAGUUUAAAGAGGACUACGUCAGGU